rnacentral:rRNA from 1 species
ACUCCUACGGGAGGCAGCAGUGGGGAAUAUUGCACAAUGGGCGCAAGCCUGAUGCAGCCAUGCCGCGUGUAUGAAGAAGGCCUUCGGGUUGUAAAGUACUUUCAGCAGUGAGGAAGGCGGUGACGUUAUUAAGCGUGGCCUCGUUUGACGUUAGCUGCAGAAGAAGCACCGGCUAACUCCGUGCCAGCAGCCGCGGUAAUACGGAGGGUGCGAGCGUUAAUCGGAAUUACUGGGCGUAAAGCGCAUGCAGGUGGUUUGUUAAGUCAGAUGUGAAAGCCCGGGGCUCAACCUCGGAAUC